AACGAACGCUGGCGGCAUGCCUAACACAUGCAAGUCGAACGAAGCCUUCGGGCUUAGUGGCGCACGGGUGCGUAACGCGUGGGAAUCUGCCCUUAGGUACGGAAUAACUCAGGGAAACUUGUGCUAAUACCGUAUGAUGUCGAAAGACCAAAGAUUUAUCGCCUAGGGAUGAGCCCGCGUUGGAUUAGCUAGUUGGUGAGGUAAAGGCUCACCAAGGCGACGAUCCAUAGCUGGUCUGAGAGGAUGAUCAGCCACACUGGGACUGAGACACGGCCCAGACUCCUACGGGAGGCAGCAGUGGGGAAUAUUGGACAAUGGGCGAAAGCCUGAUCCAGCAAUGCCGCGUGAGUGAAGAAGGCCUUCGGGUUGUAAAGCUCUUUUACCCGGGAAGAUAAUGACUGUACCGGGAGAAUAAGGACCGGCCAACUACGUGCCAGCAGCCGCCGUAA
rnacentral:rRNA from 1 species